rnacentral:rRNA from 1 species
UCGCAAUGGGCGAAAGCCUGACGGAGCAAUACCGCGUGAGGGAGGAAGGCUCUUGGGUUGUAAACCUCUUUUCUCAGGGAAKAACAAAAUGACGGUACCUGAGGAAUAAGCAUCGGCUAACUCCGUGCCAGCAGCCGCGGUAAUACGGAGGAUGCAAGCGUUAUCCGGAAUGAUUGGGCGUAAAGGGUCCGCAGGUGGCAUUGUAAGUCUGCUGUUAAAGAGUUUGGCUCAACCAAAUAAAAGCAGUGGAAACUACAAAGCUAGAGUAUGGUCGGGGCAGAGGGAAUUCCUGGUGUAGCGGUGAAAUGCGUAGAUAUCAGGAAGAACAC